UUUAAUUGGGGCUGGCUUACAACUUCAGAGGUUCAGUCCAUUAGUAUCAAGGUAGGAGCAUGGCAGCAUCCAGGCAGGCACGGUGCAGGAGACCCUGAGAGUUCUACAUCUUCAUGGAAGGUUGCUGGUAGAAGACUGAGUUCAGGCAGCUAGGAUGAAGGUCUUAAAGCCCACACCCACAGUGACACACCUACUCCAACAGGGCCACACCCUCUCUCUCUAAUAGUGCCAUCCCUGGGCUGAGUACAUCCACCAUGCCUGGACUUGUUUCUAGACUCUUUUCCAUGUUUUAGUAUUCUUCUUUUUAAUGGUUGGAUGACAUUGCACUCAAAGGCUUGAAUGCAUUGUAUUUUUCCAUCUGUUGAUGGACAGCGCAUUGUCUGCACCUCUAGGCUGCUGUGAGGGACUUUGAUUCCUGAGUGAAUGACCCCAGGGAAGGUGUCAGUCCAUGGCCGUUUCUCCACACAGCAGCGGCGAUGGUGGCAGAAUGGCCUGAAUGAUGUCCAUGGUGUGAAUAUAGACAGUAUCUUUCUUGUUUCUUGGUCCAUCGCCUUGGGGGAGCCACCUCGGUUUCUGUUAGUCUCAUUUUCCAUCUCUCAGGUCCAGAUCACGAGACCAAGCCCCCACCCCUGUAAGCACGUUUGUCGGUUACACCUGGCUGAGGCCCUGUGCCACCGGAAGAGAGGCCUCAGUGAUCAAGGGUUAUGCAAACAGUAGUGGGUUGCCUGCAAGUUGUGCAUGGAGCCAGGGAUGCACUUUCCUGAGCUGUCCUCCAGGCUGAGAUAAGGACUAUGGAGAAGUUUUGCUCAAUGGCUGAAGCUUGCAGAGGGAAGAUAUUUAUCAAAUUAAUUUCCCAGGCUUUGUUCCGGUAAAAAAAAGAGUCAGCUGAUGCUUCAAAGAAUGUUAAACUUCUAAUUCAAAGAUUCGCCCCGCCUCCGUCUCCCCCUGGUUUUUCUUUCCUGCUCAGUUUAUCCACUACAAAAAUUAAAUACAGCAGGGAUAGACUGAUCGUGGCUGAUCUCAUCCAUCGGGGCUGCAGCUGAUAUUCAAGGAAAUACAAGCCUGGAAUUGGGAGCCUCAUCGUGCAGCUUGGUGGUUCCCACAAUGAGGCUGAGGUCACACGGAUCACAAGAAGUCAGUGUGUGUGUGACAUAAAAC
rnacentral:lncRNA from 1 species